AACAGGAUUAGAUACCCUGGUAGUCCACGCCGUAAACGAUGUCGAUUUGGAGGUUGUGCCCUUGAGGCGUGGCUUCCGGAGCUAACGCGUUAAAUCGACCGCCUGGGGAGUACGGCCGCAAGGUUAAAACUCAAAUGAAUUGACGGGGGCCCGCACAAGCGGUGGAGCAUGUGGUUUAAUUCGAUGCAACGCGAAGAACCUUACCUGGUCUUGACAUCCACAGAACUUUCCAGAGAUGGAUUGGUGCCUUCGGGAACUGUGAGACAGGUGCUGCAUGGCUGUCGUCAGCUCGUGUUGUGAAAUGUUGGGUUAAGUCCCGCAACGAGCGCAACCCUUAUCCUUUGUUGCCAGCGGUUAGGCCGGGAACUCAAAGGAGACUGCCAGUGAUAAACUGGAGGAAGGUGGGGAUGACGUCAAGUCAUCAUGGCCCUUACGACCAGGGCUACACACGUGCUACAAUGGCAUAUACAAAGAGAAGCGACCUCGCGAGAGCAAGCGGACCUCAUAAAGUAUGUCGUAGUCCGGAUUGGAGUCUGCAACUCGACUCCAUGAAGUCGGAAUCGCUAGUAAUCGUAGAUCAGAAUGCUGCGGUGAAUACGUUCCCGGGCCUUGUACACACCGCCCGUCACACCAUGGGAGUGGGUUGCAAAAGAAGUAGGUAGCUUAACCUUCGGGAGGGCGCUUACCACUUUGUGAUUCAUGACUGGGGUGAAGUCGUAACAAGGUAACC
rnacentral:rRNA from 1 species